GUGGGGAAUAUUGGACAAUGGGCGAAAGCCUGAUCCAGCCAUGCCGCGUGUGUGAAGAAGGCCUUCGGAUUGUAAAGCACUUUAAGUUGGGAGGAAGGGCAGUAAGUUAAUACCUUGCUGUUUUGACGUUACCGACAGAAUAAGCACCGGCUAACUUCGUGCCAGCAGCCGCGGUAAUACGAAGGGUGCAAGCGUUAAUCGGAAUUACUGGGCGUAAAGCGCGCGUAGGUGGUUUUGUAAGUUGGAGGUGAAAUCCCCGGGCUCAACCUGGGAACUGCCUCCAAAACUGCAUGACUAGAGUACGGUAGAGGGUAGUGGAAUUUCCUGUGUAGCGGUGAAAUGCGUAGAUAUAGGAAGGAACACCAGUGGCGAAGGCGACUACCUGGACUGAUACUGACACUGAGGUGCGAAAGCGUGGGGAGCAAACAGGAUUAGAUACCCUUGUAGUCC
rnacentral:rRNA from 1 species